rnacentral:rRNA from 1 species
GUAAACUCCAGGCCAGCGGCCAGGGUAGAACGACGGGGGCAAACGGUAAUCGGAAUUACUGGGGUAAAACCGCACGCAGGCGGUUGGAUAAGUUAGAGGUGAAAGCCCCGGGCUGAACCUGGGAAGUGAAGUUAAAACUGUCCAGCUAGAGUCUUGUAGAGGGGGGUAGAAUUCCAGGUGUAGCGGUGAAAUGCGGAGAGAUCGGGAGGAAUACCGGUGGCGAAGGCGGCCCCCUGGACAAAGACUGACGCUCAGGUGCGAAAGCGUGGGGAGCAAACAGGAUUAGAUACCCCUGUAGUC